UCCGGUUUGACACCGGCAGUCUCGCUAGAGUCCUCGGCAUGACCCGUUAGCAACUAGCGAUAAGGGUUUCGCUCGUUAAGGGACUUAACCCGACGCUUCACAGCACGAGCUGACGACAGCCAUGCACCACCUGUGAUCCUGUCCCGAAGGAAGAGUGUGUUUCCACACCUGUCAGGAACAUGUCAAGCCCAGGUAAGGUUCUUCGCGUUGCGUCGAAUUAAACCACAUGCUCCGCUGCUUGUGCGGGCCCCCGUCAAUUCCUUUGAGUUUUAGCCUUGCGGCCGUACUCCCCAGGCGGUCAACUUAAUGCGUUAGCUGCGCCACUAAGAGCUCAAGGCUCCCAACGGCUAGUUGACAUCGUUUACGGCGUGGACUAC
rnacentral:misc_RNA from 1 species